CCAUUUGAAAUAAAUUUGAAAUUCUAAUUUGAACACUGUAUUACAUGGAAUUGACAGGCAUAACAGCGCCCCUGCCGCAAGUAGACUGUGUGGACAGCUCCUGCAAAGACAAAACAAUCAAACCAGGAUGGCCCACAUGUGGAGGUUAGGUUAGGUGAAGCAUCAUCCGUGCUGGACCAUGUACAAGUCUCUUGGAACAGAGCGUCAUAGAGGGUGAGAAUCCCGUCCUUGACAUGGACUCCCAGUACUUUGUGUUGUGCUCUCAACGAGUCGAGUUGUUUGGGAAUGCAGCUCAAAAUGGGUGGUAAAUUCCAUCUAAAGCUAAAUAUUGGCGAGAGACCGAUAGCGAACAAGUACCGUGAGGGAAAGAUGAAAAGCACUUUGGAGAGAGAGUUAAACAGUACGUGAAAUUGUUGAA
rnacentral:ncRNA from 1 species